GUUGCGGUUAAAAAGCUCGUAGUUGGAUUUCGGCGAUCAGAGGCCGGUGAUAUAUUUGUAUCUACUGGCCCAUUUGGUCGUAUUUUUGAAAGAGGGUUUGGGGUCCCCUUCACUGGGUGUCCUAGGUCGCUUUCAGGUUUACUUUGAAAAAAUUAGAGUGCUCAAAGCAGGCUUUAACGCUUGAAUAUUCGUGCAUGGAAUAAUAGAAUAGGAAGUUCGUUUCUAUUUUGUUGGUUUUAGGAUAACGACUUAAUGAUUAAUAGGGACAAUCGGGGGAAUUAGUAUUCAAACGACAGAGGUGAAAUUCUUGGACCGUUUGAAGACUAACUACUGCGAAAGCAUUUUCCAAGAGUGUUUUCAUUAAUCAAGAACGAAAGUUAGAGGUUCGAAGGCGAUCAGAUACCGCCCUAGUUCUAACCAUAAACGAUGCCAGCUAGCGAUCUCAGGGUGCGUAAUACUAAGGCCCCUGAGGGAGCUUCCGGGAAACCAAAGCUUGUGGGUUCCGGGGGAAGUAUGGUUGCAAAGCUGAAACUUAAAGGAAUUGACGGAAGGGCACCACCAGGAGUGGAGCCUGCGGCUUAAUUUGACUCAACACGGGAAAUCUCACCAGGCCCGGACACCGGAAGGAUUGACAGAUUGAGAGCUCUUUCUCGAUUCGGUGGGUGGUGGUGCAUGGCCGUUC
rnacentral:rRNA from 1 species